ACGCUGGCGGCGUGCUUAACACAUGCAAGUCGAACGGAGGACUAAGUGGAAGCUUGGCGAAUCCUAGUCCUUAGUGGCGGACGGGGUGAGUAACACGUUGGAUAACCUGGCCUGUAAGAACCGGGACAACACCUUGGAAACGGGUUGCUAAUACCGGGUAAGCUCUUUUUUGCCGCAUGGUGAGAAGAGGAGAGGGGAGACCCGCUUACAGAUGGAUCCGCGGCCCAUUAGCUAGUUUGGCGGUGUAACGGACCACCAAGGCGACGAUGGGUAGCCGGCCUGAGAGGAUGAUUCGGCCACACUCGGAACUGAGACACGGUCCAGACUCCUACGGGAGGGGCAGCAGUGGGGGGAAAUCUUUCCGCAAUGGGGGCGUAAAGCCCUGGAACGGGAAGCAACGCCCGCGUUGAAAUGGAUUGAAAGGGCCCUUUCGGGGUUCGUAAAAUUUUCUUGUUCUUUCAGGGGAAAGAAAAAAAAAAUGGACGAGUACCCUUGAAGGAGGGAAAGCCCCCGGGCUAAACUUACGUCGCCCAGCAGCCCGCGGUAAUAACGUAGAGGGGGCGAGCGUUUGUCCCGGGAAAUUUACUGGGGCGUAAAGGGGCGCGUUAGGCGGUUUUAUUUAAGUUCAGAAGGUGAAAAGCUCCCGGCUCAAACCGGG
rnacentral:rRNA from 1 species